UGCAAGAAUGUGAGCAUUCUACUCUAUAUGAAUACUCGAUCUUACCUAAGUUCCAAGUGGAACUCAAAAAAAACCAACUCACAAAACUACCCUAAAUUCCAAGUGGAAUUCAAACAAGCCAACUCACAAAACUACCCUAAAUUCCAAGUGGAAUUCAAACAAAACCAACUCACAGUGUUCUAGGCGAGAAGUAGCUGGUUGAUCGGAGAGGACAUGGCCAAAACCCAAGGGACGACUUGACUGGACUGGACUAAACUGAUCUCGACUUGGACAGAACCUCGGCUUCACCAUGAAGAAACU
rnacentral:lncRNA from 1 species